UACAGAGGGUGCAAGCGUUAAUCGGAAUUACUGGGCGUAAAGCGUGCGCAGACGGUUGCGUAAGUCAGAUGUGAAAGCCCCGGGCUCAACCUGGGAAUUGCAUUUGAGACUGCGUAGCUAGGGUGCGGAAGAGGGAAGCGGAAUUUCCGGUGUAGCGGUGAAAUGCGUAGAUAUCAGGAGGAACACCGGUGGCGAAGGCGGCUUGCUGGGCCAGUUCUGACGCUGAGGAGCGAAAGCGUGGGGAGCGAACAGG
rnacentral:rRNA from 1 species